GACGAACGCUGGCGGCGUGCUUAACACAUGCAAGUCGAACGGUAAGGCCCUUCGGGGUACACGAGUGGCGAACGGGUGAGUAACACGUGGGUGAUCUGCCCUGCACUUCGGGAUAAGCCUGGGAAACUGGGUCUAAUACCGGAUAGGACCACUGCCUGCAUGGGGGGUGGUGGAAAGCUUUUGCGGUGUGGGAUGGGCACGCGGCCUAUCAGCUUGUUGGUGGGGUGAUGGCCGACCAAGGCGACGACGGGUAGCCGGCCUGAGAGGGGGACCGGCCACGAUGGGAUUGAGGUACGGCCCAGACUGCUCCGGGAGGCAGCAGUGGUGAGUAUUGCACAAUGGGCGCAAGCCUGGUGCAGCUACGCCGCGUGAGGGAUGACGGCCUUCGGGUUGUAAACCUCUUUCAGCACCGACGAAGCGCAAGUGACGGUAGGUGCAGAAGAAGGACCGGCCAACUACGUGCCAGCCGCCGCCGUAA
rnacentral:rRNA from 1 species